UGCUGAGCGCAAAGGUUACGGGGACACGGCGCCCGCAGUUCCCCGUCAGUAGCUGUGUAUUGGGUGGUCUCUCAAGGUUACGGGGGCACGGCGCCCGCAGUUCCCCGUCAGUAGCUGUGUAUUGGGUGGUCUCUCAAGGUUACGGGGGCACGGCGCCCGCAGUUCCCCGUCAGUAGCUGUGUAUUGGGUGGUCUCUCAAGGUUACGGGGGCACGGCGCCCGCAGUUCCCCGUCAGUAGCUGUGUAUUGGGUGGUCUCUCAAGGUUACAGGGGCACGGCACCCACAGUUCCCCGUCAGUAGCUGUUUAUUGGGUGGUCUCUCAAAACUGGGAUUGUAUUUCGUGUUGCAAAUUGCUUUCCAAUUGGGUCUUUAGUUAAUAGAAGGAAAAGACGUAUCUCUUUGGGUAAAGCCAAGAUUGUGAAGAUUAUACUUACACUGAGAGGCUGAUUUGAAUAUUAUUUAUUUACAAGUGUUUAGGAAACAUAAAAGGAAGGAAAUGUGAUUUUUCAAUGAUUUUUAGAAUUGUGCAGAUGUCACGACUAUCUAAUUUUAGAAUUUUUCCUACACCCCCAAAAAGAACCCUGUGCCUGUUUGCAGUCCCUCUCAUUCCACCUGUUAGCACCUGUGCCCCACGUCCAGUCCUCUGGUCCCCCUGUUAGCACCUGUGCCCCCACGUCCUGUCCUCUCAUUCCCCCUGUUAGCACCUGUGCCCCCGUGUCCUGACCUCUGGUCCCCCUGUUAGCACCUGUGCCCCCACGUCCUGUCCUCUGGUCCCCCCUGUUAGCACCUGUGCCCCCACGUCCAGUCCUCUG